GACGAACGCUGGCGGCGUGCUUAACACAUGCCAGUCGAACGGAAAGGCCCUGCUUUUGUGGGGUGCUCGAGUGGCGAACGGGUGAGUAACACGUGAGUAACCUGCCCUUGACUUUGGGAUAACUUCAGGAAACUGGGGCUAAUACCGGAUAGGAGCUCCUGCUGCAUGGUGGGGGUUGGAAAGUUUCGGCGGUUGGGGAUGGACUCGCGGCUUAUCAGCUUGUUGGUGGGGUAGUGGCUUACCAAGGCUUUGACGGGUAGCCGGCCUGUGAGGGUGACCGGCCACAGUGGGACUGAGGUACGGCCCAGACUCCUACGGGGGGCAACAGUGGGGAAUAUUGCACAAUGGGCGGUAGCCUGAUGCAGCGACGCCGCGUGCGGGAUGACGGCCUUCGGGUUGUAAACCGCUUUCGCCUGUGACGGAGCGUGAGUGACGGUAAUGGGUAAAGGAGCACCGGCUAACUACGUG
rnacentral:rRNA from 1 species